AUGAUGGGCUGUUCCAAAACCAACCCCAAAUUGGUACUAGUAAACGAAAAACCCUAUACCAAAAAUUCAAACUUUCAACUAAAUAACCAAACCGACAACAACCCAGAUGAAAAAAAAAAAGUUUUUAUCAAAAGCUAUAUGAAAUGGGGCAAAAGGGUAUGAUCAAUAUUAAACAAAGAGAAGAAAGUAGAAAAACUAGAAGUGAAGUCAAACAAUGUGGCCUUAUGAAAACAAACGGAAAAAACAAAAACAAAGAGACAUCAAAGGUACAUUCAUCGUACUACGUCAUGAGGUUUAUGUUACGAGAAACAAAAACCCAGGUUGUUUUAUGA